CCUACGGGAGGCAGCAGUAGGGAAUCUUCCACAAUGGGCGAAAGCCUGAUGGAGCAACGCCGCGUGGGUGAAGAAGGUCUUCGGAUCGUAAAACCCUGUUGUUAGAGAAGAAAGUGCGUGAGAGUAACUGUUCACGUUUCGACGGUAUCUAACCAGAAAGCCACGGCUAACUACGUCCCAGCAGCCGCGGUAAUCCGUAGGUGGCAAGCGUUAUCCGGAUUUAUUGGGCGUAAAGGGAACGCAGGCGGUCUUUUAAGUCUGAUGUGAAAGCCUUCGGCUUAACCGGAGUAGUGCAUUGGAAACUGGGAGACUUGAGUGCAGAAGAGGAGGGUGGAACUCCAUGUGUAGCGGUGAAAUGCGUAGAUAUAUGGAAGAACACCAGUGGCGAAAGCGGCUCUCUGGUCUGUAACUGACGCUGAGGUUCGAAAGCGUGGGUAGCAAACAGGAUUAGAUACCCUUGUAGUC
rnacentral:rRNA from 1 species